rnacentral:rRNA from 1 species
AUACGGAAGGUCCGGGCGUUAUCCGGAUUUAUUGGGUUUAAAGGGAGCGCAGGCGGCCUUUUAAGCGUGACGUGAAAUGUAGGCGCUCAACGUCUGAAUUGCGUCGCGAACUGUUAGGCUUGAGUAGACGGAAUGUCGGCGGAAUUCGUGGGGUAGCGGUGAAAUGCUUAGAUAUCACGAAGAACUCCGAUUGCGAAGGCAGCUGACAGCAGUUUUACUGACGCUCAUGCUCGAAAGUGCGGGUAUCGAACAGGAUUAGAUACCCUGGUAGUCCGCACGGUAAACGAUGGAUGCCCGCUGUUUGCCAUUUGUGGUAAGCGGCCAAGCGAAAGCAUUAAGCAUCCCACCUGGGGAGUACGCCGGCAACGGUGAAACUCAAAUGAAUUGACGGGG